rnacentral:rRNA from 1 species
UCCAGACUCCUACGGGAGGCAGCAGUGGGGGAUAUUGCACAAUGGGGGGAACCCUGAUGCAGCGACGCCGCGUGGGUGAAGGAGCGUUUCGGCGCGUAAAGCCCUAUCGGCAGGGAAGAAGGAGGACGGUACCUGACUAAGAAGCCCCGGCUAACUACGUGCCAGCAGCCGCGGUAAUACGUAGGGGGCAGGCGUUAUCCGGAUUUACUGGGUGUAAAGGGGGCGCAGACGGCAGCGCAAGCCAGGAGUGAAAGCCCGGGGCCCAACCCCGGGACUGCUCUUGGAACUGCGCGGCUGGAGUGCAGGAGGGGCAGGCGGAAUUCCUGGUGUAGCGGUGAAAUGCGUAGAUAUCAGGAGGAACACCGGUGGCGAAGGCGGCCUGCUGGACUGCGACUGACGUUGAGGCCCGAAAGCGUGGGGAGCAAACAGGAUUAGAUACCCCUGUA